rnacentral:rRNA from 1 species
AUGAACGCUGGCGGCGUGCCUCAUACAUGCAAGUCGAGCGAACGGACGAGAAGCUUGCUUCUCUGAUGUUAGCGGCGGACGGGUGAGUAACACGUGGAUAACCUACCUAUAAGACUGGGAUAACUUCGGGAAACCGGAGCUAAUACCGGAUAAUAUUUUGAACCGCAUGGUUCAAAAGUGAAAGACGGUCUUGCUGUCACUUAUAGAUGGAUCCGCGCUGCAUUAGCUAGUUGGUAAGGUAACGGCUUACCAAGGCAACGAUGCAUAGCCGACCUGAGAGGGUGAUCGGCCACACUGGAACUGAGACACGGUCCAGACUCCUACGGGAGGCAGCAGUAGGGAAUCUUCCGCAAUGGGCGAAAGCCUGACGGAGCAACGCCGCGUGAGUGAUGGAGGUCUUCGGAUCGUAAAACUCUGUUAUUAGGGAAGAACAUAUGUGUAAGUAACUGUGCACAUCUUGACGGUACCUAAUCAGAAAGCCACGGCUAACUACGUG